GAUGAACGCUGGCGGCGUGCCUAAUACAUGCAAGUCGAGCGAACGGACGAGAAGCUUGCUUCUCUGAUGUUAGCGGCGGACGGGUGAGUAACACGCGGAUAACCUACCUAUAAGACUGGGAUAACUUCGGGAAACCGUAGCUAAUACCGGAUAAUAUUUUGAACCACAUGGUUCAAAAGUGAAAGACGGUCUUGCUGUCACUUAUAGAUGGAUCCGCGCUGCAUUAGCUAGUUGGUAAGGUAACGGCUUACCAAGGCAACGAUGCAUAGCCGGCCUGAGAGGGUGAUCGGCCACACUGGAACUGAGACACGGUCCAGACUCCUACGGGAGGCAGCAGUAGGGAAUCUUCCGCAAUGGGCGAAAGCCUGACGGAGCAACGCCGCGUGAGUGAUGAAGGUCUUCGGAUCGUAAAACUCUGUUAUUAGGGAAGAACAUAUGUGUAAGUAACUGUGCACAUCUUGACGGUACCUAAUCAGAAAGCCACGGCUAACUACGUG
rnacentral:rRNA from 1 species